AUUGAACGCUGGCGGCAUGCCUUACACAUGCAAGUCGAACGGCAGCACGGGAGCAAUCCUGGUGGCGAGUGGCGAACGGGUGAGUAAAGUAUCGGAACGUGCCCAGUCGUGGGGGAUAACGUAGCGAAAGUUACGCUAAUACCGCAUACGAUCUAUGGAUGAAAGCGGGGGAUCGCAAGACCUCGCGCGAUUGGAGCGGCCGAUAUCAGAUUAGGUAGUUGGUGGGGUAAAGGCUCACCAAGCCGACGAGCUGUAGCUGGGCUGAGAGGACGGCAAGCCACACUGGGACUGAGACACGGCCCAGACGCCUACGGGCGGCAGCAGUGGGGAAUUUUGGACAAUGGGCGAAAGCCUGAUCCAGCCAUGCCGCGUGCAGGAUGAGGGCCUUCGGGUUGUAAACUGCUUUUGUACGGAACGAAAAGGUUUGGCCUAAUAAGCUGAGCUCAUGACGGUACCGUAAGAAUAAGCACCGGCUAACUACGUGCCAGCAGCCGCCGUAA
rnacentral:rRNA from 1 species